rnacentral:rRNA from 1 species
AGUGAACGCUGGCGGUAGGCCUAACACAUGCAAGUCGAACGGCGGCACAGUAAGCGCUUGCUCUUACGGGUGGCGGUUAGCGGUCGGGUGAGGAAUCCAUCGGAAUCUACUUUUUCGUGGGGGAUAGCGUAGUGCAACUUACGCUAAUACGGCAUACUACCUUCUGUUUUAAGGAGGGGAUCGUCGGAGCUUGGGCUGUGUAAUGAGACGAUGUCGGAUUGGCUAGUUGGCGGGGUAAAGGCGCACCAAGGCGACGAUCCGUGGCUUGUCUGAGAGGAUGAUCAGCCACACUGGAACUGAGACACGGUCCAGACUCCUACGGGAGGCAGCAGUGGGGAAUAUUGGACAAAGGGCGCAAGCCUGAUCCAGCCAUACCGCGUGGGUGAAGAAGGCCUUCGGGUUGUAAAGCCCUUUUGUUGGGAAAGAAAAGCAGCAGGUUAAUACCCCGCUGUUCUGACGGUACCCAAAGAAUAAGCACCGGCUAACUUCGUG